UCCAUUCCUGCCAAGUGUAAUGCCGUUUCGCAGAUCCAAUGUAAACAGCGCGAAAUUUACGCGUUCGCACACUUUGGGCACAUUGUGUUCCGCACAAGCUCAGUUGUUACGUGAUGGGACAACGGUUGUGUUGCAGUGAUAUUCUUUAUUAAACAUGCAUUUACUCUAGUAGUUUUAAAGGAAAUAAAUUGUUAUUCAAUGUAAAUAUUUGGCACGCCCACUAUGAGGAAGCUAUAUGGUAUACAGCAACAGUUCUUCUCUCCUCAGUGCCUCGCCUAUAUAAGCCAACUCAACACACACACACACUUAUGUCCAAUAAACCAGUUUCAAGUUCCAACUUUAUUGGCACAAUUAUUCUGCGUACAAUGUUGCCAGCACAUAAAUCCACACAAUAAAACUGUAAAAUGAAACAAAGUGGCAGGAAUGUUAAUAAAAAAUAAUAAUAGUUGCAACAAUGUACCAUAAAAUAAACAUUCAACAACGAUACCAACAGAAAGAAAAACUAUUUACAACAUAUAGUGCGCGUGCUCAUGCAUAAACACAUUUGUUCUACAUUCAAUACCUUCUCAGAAAAAUCUGCUCGCAAUUCAAAUUAAACACACUGCUGGCGUAAAAAGAGCCAGGCACCCCAUGAUGUAAUCGCCCAUAAAGUCGUGUAGGCUAUAAUUUCAGGAGGCGAUGGUGGUAGUUUGCGAAAAGUCACUGGCGAUAGCGCGCGGCGCAGACGGCAUACUACGGCUUUUAAAGUCCAGAAACAACGAGUUCGCGCAUAAUUUGGUUUUCUUUGCGUUAGUCCUUUAGAUGCAUGCAAAAGGGGUUAAAAUGAAUAAAAGAUGGGGGUUGGUGAGACUUCUGCGGUUGCUUGUUUGACUGUUAAGCUCUUUGUUGUGAUGUGCCACACCCCCGUCGGACAGACUGCCAGCUGAUCUGGCCAGCAACAGACUCGACCAGCCGAGCGCUGAACCGCGCAGCGCACCCGCCCUCAGCGCAGACCUCAAGUCUUCGAAACUAGCAUGAAAAAUACGUUUAGAAAAGUAACUACACGUUUCUGCACCGCAUUUUAACGCGUCGUGACGUCUAUUGCCGCCGCUAUCAUUUAUUUAUGCCGCGUUUGUGUCACAUCAGACAAUAGAAGGUCCUCCUGACAGGAAACCUGCUCUAAAUCGAAACGUUCUCGACACUUGAAGGCGUUGUGGCCUCAGAUCAGAGAUAAACCGCAGAAGUGUAAAUAGUGUCAGGGUUUUCCGAAACACACCCCUGGUUACUAUAAAUGAUGAAUUCACACAGUGCAAUAUGUUUAAUCAGGCAAAAUAUAUCAGAUAGAGUUUCUAUAAGUCCUCUGGUGUCAAAGUGUGAUGGUUAGAAUGAUAAACUCAGUUCUUUAUCAUUAUCUCAGCUUUAUGAAAUAUAGAAAUGUAAGAAUGUGUAGGCUAAUUGUUGCUCAUGUUGCCUGACCAAAGUUAUCUGUUUGUUAGGCGAGGAUACAUGUCUAUAGCCUAGUUUUGCACAUUCAUUAAUAGAUAUUAAUAUAGACUGUAUAAUUAGAUUGGUUAAGGUUCAGCUAUUGUACAACAUUUUUAGCUUUGUGUUAGCAUUCUAAUUAAAGCACUGCCACCUAAUAUAUAAAAACAAUAUGUAACACACAUCUAAGUAAACUAGUCAUCUCAACUAAUCCAAAACCCAACUAAUCAAACAUAUGACUCUUGUGGUUAAGAUUUGAUAUAUAGUUGCUUAUGAUGACCUACCAGUUUAAAUGGUUAUCUUUGAAAUUACAACAAAGAUAGCACAUCUCAUCAGUCAGAAAAAAAAAAAAAAAACUGUCAGAAUAAUACAAAAUGUACUACCGUGCCAAUCUGGAUUUGCUUCCACCAUGAAUAGCAUAUCUGACCAGGCAAGACUACCCCAAACCCUUACAUUGACUUUAAAAUAAUACAUACUGUGUGUAUAUAGUGUGGGUUGCCUAAAUUUUCGGUACAAAGGCUUGUAUAUAAUAUAUAACUUUGAGGCUUUGAUGUACUCAGGGUGGGCGUGUCAUCUAAACAGUUGUUCCUUUUAGUUUUUCCUUCGCUUGAUAAUAGGUUGGGUCACUUACAGUUUAUAUAAUGACAUGUUUAUGUCAGAACACACCACAUACCACCCUGUAUUCAGGCAUAUUGUUCUGUAAAACCCCAGCUUCAGUUGCGGUCCAGUGUAUGGUGUUGGUUAUGUGUCUAGUUUUGUGUUGACAUGUCAAAGUAAGUCAGAUAAACAGCUCAAUUCAUCGUUUGUGGUGAAUUUGUUUAUGGUGUGUAUUUAAGGCUUCCCUCUCAUCCUGUCUUUCAGUUGGGCUAUUCUCUAAAUUGUAGACUUUAGAUUGGGCUUUACUGUAGUCACCAGUCUGCGAUUGGACCAUGAUUCGGUUAAACAAUGAGUGUUCCAUCUCAUUUGUUUUGGUAAUCAGAGAAUGUGGGUCAUUUGAGUUCAGCAGCCCAGGCUCAGUCAACCUGCUCAGUUCUGGUCGCCUUUCUUAAGCACUCAGCAGAUUUGCCAUCAGUCUCUACCAAUGGAGCAAAGAGAAGAUGGAUCUUUCUCCCAGCAACGCACUGCUUUUGAACUGAAGGGGGAACACAGAGUUAUAAAAACAAACUUGGGUAGCCAAAAGUACUGAGGACCUCAUUUGACUUCAGCAAACGCCCUGAAUUCCCUGCUGGUUCUGGUUUGCACCCUGCUUUGGAUCAUUAUUCUUAAUCCAGCAGGAAUUGGGCACAGAGAGUUGCGUCCAGCUUUCUACUUAAACUGUAGUGUCGCCGAUGGAGUCGUAUACUGUAGCGGUAGGAUAAAAGCUGGGCUCUGGGGCUUUCCUUCAUGCGCAAAGAUGCAGUCACGCUAGUCAAACUGCUUUCGUGAAAACGAUUAGUAAUUUCUGAAAAAUGCAACAGAUCUUUGCGGUGUUCUUGUGCUAUUCUGUUGAACAAGUAGUUCCAGGUGAAAGGGGGAUGGCCCAAAACAUCACAAGUGCAAGCUUGCUGGAAGACGAAGACAUUUUAUGACAGAACUGAAGCAGAUCAAGCAGGUCACGAUCAAACAGCACAGAAAUGUUGCACAGGGCUCUGCUUUGAAAUGCACUGCAGCAAAUGGAGUUGUUUAAAUGGCACUAAAAGUAACUUUUUAACUUUGUACUUUUGAAGACUAUACAAUAUUGCAUUAGUAUAAAUAACUGUGUCAUGUCGUGUUAUUUCCCUUCCCAAGAAUUUGUUACUAGCUCACUUAACUUUGAAAAGCAUUUGUUUCCAGACUGAAAUGACUCUUUCCAUCUUUCUAACGGUCUUAUACUACAUUCAUUUGCCAAGCCACCAAUUUUAGGUUCUGGGUCUAUUUGUAGCUCAGUUUUCUUUUUAAAGAAAGACUAUGUAUUGUUACACUGCAAUUCUGUGGUAACCUGUGGUUACAGAGUGUCCCUCACUGAGAUAAGUCUGGUAUAAUAACCUUCUUGUGACCUUUCGAGAGGACCUUUUCAGUGUAGCCUGACUGCACUGCCACUGCCUCUGUUCUUUGGGUACAUCUUGGACUUAAAUCUCCACUUUGGGGCAGUUGUGGCCUAAUGGAUAGAGAGUGGGAGAGUCGGAACCCGAAAGUCGUGUGUUCGAGUCUCUGCUGCAUAACGCUCAGGGUGUGUAUUCACGGUAUGUGUGGCCUUGGAUGGGUCAAAACCAGAGCGCAAAUUCUUAGUAUGGGUCACCAUACUUGGCCACAUGUAAGUUCACUUGUUAAAGUUUAUAGUCAUGAUAAGAUUAAUUCAAGGCUUAUGAGAGCAUCAAGUAUAAUAUUUGACGGAUGUUUUAUGGCUAUCCACAGUCUCAGUGCAAAAAAGGAGGACACACAGGAAAGUUGGAGAGGGUAGAAAGUAAGGAAAAGAUUCCAACUAGCAUGUGUAGCAUGUGGCUGGAUAAGGAAAGGCUCAUUAAUCAUCCUUAUAAACACAGAUGGACAGAUUCAGAGAGAUGCUUGGUUUGCAUUUGAUGAGUUGUUAACUGUAAUGGUGCACAAUAUGUUUGCAGAUGAUAAUUUAUAACAUUCUCAUUACUUUAUUAGGGCGCAGUUUACUUGUUACGAGAAAAGGGACCUGUGGUAUGCAUACAUGCAGAUGGAAUGGGUGUGGGGCCAUCAGGGAACAAAAAAAAAAAAGAUUUUCACAAACCUGCAAGUUUUGGGUUAGGAAGAGGAAGUGACAUGGCUUGAGGAGACUGCCAAGGCCAUGGCUGUGACGUAUUUUGGCGGUUUGUUAUGCAGAAAAGACAUGGUGUCCUUUCAGUGCAUGUGAAUUUCUCAUAAGUGUAGUUCCUCUGAAAGUGUUUUGCAUGCAAUACCUGAAUUUUUUUUGCCCAAAGUGAAACUGAUGUAUUAGUACUUAUACCUCUAUAGCAUUCAAUUUCUACACAUGUCAGUAUUUAAUGAAAUGCAAUAAAGCAUUGCUUGACUCAAGUGAAGUGCAAUUUGUUGCAUAAUGUUAAUUACCUCAAAAUAUAAAUUCAACUCAUCCCACAUUUUCUUAAAAAAAGGAAAUAAAAAUCAAGAUUAUGUGAGGGAAGUAAACCAGGUCAGUUUUAGAGGAUUUAAAAGCACAUACCUAAUUGUCUUCUGAUAAAAGUUGUGGUGAGCUACAGAUCUGUUUAAAUCAAGUCAUUUUGGGCUUUUACGGAUUUAAGUGUUGUCAUCAUGGCAGCAAACUGCAUGCAAAUUAUGCAAAAUAUUAGUAAGCCAUUUUAUUUUAGACACUAAAAUCAGGUUUCCAUCUGUGUUAUGUUUAUGUCCUGUGGCUAUACUAUUGAAACAGGGAGCAUUUUAAUGUUUCUGAACUGGCCCCAUUCACUCCUAUUGAAAAUUAAUAUUAUGCCUCAAAUGCUGUUGAUUAACCUUAAUUUGUACAGAACCCAGUAUAUUCCCUUAAGUAGCCUGCAUUUAGUUAACUACUUUUCCCAUAUAAUCCUCUUUAAAGUUUCAAGGUAUGGUAUUCAUCAGACUUGUGUUUGUUAGCAUUCCCUUCCAGUGCUUUUUGAAAGUCAAGGCUAAAUGAAAAAGUUCAUUAGGUUCACAAAUUGCUUUCAAUGGCAAACCCGUGACGGACCCUUGUGAUCAGAAUGGGUACAUGUGGCCCCUGUGUUCUGGGUUAAUCUCCCUCGCCCCAUAAUCUAAUCUGCUCCCUGUACAACUCCCUAAUGUCAUCUGGGGCCAGUUCCUAGACCUAUUAUCCUCAUUGGGCUACUCAGGACCUAUAUCACUAGUCCUUGUACUCAUGGGAAUAUAUCCAGGGAAGUCGAGGGGCAUGUUACCACAUCAAGCCACUAAGUACUUCAGAGAAUCUUGAAUAUUGAUAGCAUGCCUCAGAUCACACUGUUGCAUGAUGUGCUGUGCAAGGGAGAUAAAAUGAGAUCACCUCCAAGGCCUUAGAGGUUUUUGCAAUCCUCCGCCGAAUUGAGAUGUUAAGUAUGAGCAAGCAGAGUGGUGGGAGGUAGAAGAUGAGAGCGAAUGCGGUACACAAAUUGCUCAUUGUGCUGAGUGGGUUGGUAAAGAGAAGGGGGACACAGCAGGUUGAGGGUUUAAGGUUACCAGACAGCUUUGUCUGAUCUCCUGCAAAUAUGAGGAGGCGGGGUUUCUCUCCAAACCGAAAUGCUAUGGAGAAUAGGAGGACUGAUUUUGUCACAAAUUGAUGAGCAAGAUUGGCUAAAGCAGCUUUGUUGGGGGAAGGAUCCUUAAAAGGAUAUUGUGCCACCAAAGACAGGAUGGGCUUUUACAAACUGACGAACCUUAACUAAUUUUAAUGAGAAUGCUUCAAAUUAAAAUAUUUAGUUUUGAAUCCUAACUUAGCAUGAUGUAGUCCUACUGUCCACUUUGAGUAUUAUGAAAUGGAUGGUUAUUGACCCAGUAUGGUUAGGGUCAUCAGUAAAUGUCAUGCUGCAUCUGUGUGUGGCUAGUAUGCAUUAGCUUCAAUCACCAGAAGCACCAUACAUGCAUACAAAGACCAUAAUGGCACAUUUCACAGUUGGUUAGCUUUUUUGUAUGGCCUGUGAACUUAUGUUCAUUAUGUGACCCUUUGUAUUGUCCUCAAGAGUCCCAGUAGGGUGCACAAUGUAAAGAUGACAUUGUCUUGCUACAGAAUUUGGUGCAUGGACAAAAACAGUGUACGUGGUCAAAUGUUCUCACUCAAACAAUAGAUCCAACCAUUGGUUCAAGUGUGCAUUAAAGCAGCAAGUUCCUAGAACACCCUCCUCCCAGGUUUAUAGCAAAUACACGCAAAAUUAAAAUGACUCGUCAGCCAUUUUUCUUUCCUCUGCGCUGGGUUAUUUACAGACAUGACAUCCUGUGCAGUCAUCCAGCCCGUGGUCGAGGUGGAAGGUUUUAGAGGAUGGGUGGGACUUGGGCACUUCUGCCCUGUGCUGGGCACAGUGCCAUGGCUGGAAUGGAGUUGGGCUGGGCUCAGUGUGAGGGUGAUGGCUUCACAGCAGAGAUUCUACUUUUUCUGACUAAAACUAUUUUCCAUUCCACACCCCUGGCCUACUACCUUUGUAACCAGAAUAUAUGUAAGAUGCCAAGAAUGCAUGGGCUUGGCUGACCCACUUGCCAUUCAGGAUAUGCACAAGCUAGUUAAUUGGGAAUGAUGUCAAGCAGGUAUUUUAUGAGUUUUGUAUGUGCACCUGUGUUUGUUUGAGAGAAUAUUAGUACAAACCGAAGUUAAAAGAUGCAGAUAAUUGGGUAACAAUUUUAACCAAAUUUAGUUAUGUACACUCUCCACACCAUUUAACCCGUUAUCUAUUAUUUUCUGAUUUUUACUGUCAGCCUACUGUGUGAGUGGUAGAAACCAUGCUUUGAUGCAUCUCUCUCUCUCUCACACUCAAAUAUGAUAGGCUGAAGUGCUGAAGCCCCCUGGGUGUUUCAUCAUGCACUCAUCCACCCUUUUGCAGUCAUCCAUCUCUCCUGAAGCAGCCCUCACUGACAGCAAUACAGUUCUCUUAUUUUACUUUCAUAUGAAGAAAAGUAUACAGUUUUAGCUGCUAUAAAAGCCAAAACACAACCUGGACUAGUUGACUCACCAUAGUCACGCACAUUUGGUAUCGGAGUUGGUACCUUUCAAACUCUUCUGAACUUAUGUAUUCUUUAUUUAGCUUUGGAAGAGUCUUAUAAAAGAAAGUCUGUUCCUGCCUAACCAUCCCCCUUUUGCCCUGUGUCCUCUACGCCCACCCAUGAGGGCAUGAGGUGACAGAACUGCUAAAGCGUUGUAUAGUUUGAGUUUGCUUUCUUACAUUUACUAUGUAGGGGUGUCGAUUUCUCUGUGCAGGAAGAAGGGGAUCUGGAGCUAGUGUGGAACUGUAUUUUCAGCUUCCUGAAGCAUGAGCCACUGGCUUAGGGUCUCACGCAAUCUCUGUGUGGGGCGCUAACACUGCAAUUUGUGGGUGGGGAUGGACUGUACAGAGAGGCAUAAGUGUGGGGGUGGGUACAGGGUGGGAUCCGUGGUCAAAGGCCCUCCACUGAUGUAGGUCACUUGCUCAGUUGCAUCUGCUGGCAAUCUGAUUUGGUGAUUCUCUGCAGUAGCAGUACGUGUAUUUGGGUUUUUGUGAUGAGGAUUGAGGGGGCAAACAAAAAGAAAUGGAGAGAGGUUGUUUUCUGCUGUCUGCAAGACCCUUGGUUUCCUUCCAGGCUUUUAUAUUGACAUUAGCUCUUGCCAGUGAGAUGUUUGACCUCUUACUGUCUAAUAAAUCUGUAUGUGGAGGAUCCGGGCAUGUGUGCUCUUCCAGGCGUGGUUGUGGGAUGAAAAGGAUCAUUCAGUGGACAGUUAUGGGGGAAGGGUUGGCUUUGCAGUUUCGAAUAGAGAGGAUCAAACUGUCAAUGCUGGUAUGCUGAAGAUAAACCUUCAGGAACUAUAUAUGUUCAAAGAAUAGAUCACCCAUUAAUUAGAGUUUAGAUUAUCUACUUACCCGUGUACCAUGACCUUUCAAACCUGAAUUACUUUUUAUUUAGCAGAAAACAACAACAAGAAAGAUAGUCUAAAGUAUGUUUAAACCGUUUAAGUCAACGAAAGUCAGUCACACCCAAAAUUAGGGCUGUGCAAAAAAUCAAAUGCGAUUUUCAAGCAAGUGGGCAGGACUUGUUUUCAAAAUGGCAACCCUGAUCUGAACGCACGUGCUGGAGAUGUACUUCUAAUCACAGGAGUUCCUUAACUGACGAGAUGCGCAUGAAAAUCGCAUUCGAUUUUUUGCACAGCCCUACCCAAAAUAACAGUGGACCCCACUGGCUUUCAUUGUGUCGACAAAUAAAGCACUGAGGCAUUUCUGAAUGAAGAAAGAAAUCCUUACAGGUUUGCAUCAACAAUUCGAGAUGAACUAUCCCUUUAAGUUUUGAAUCACUCAUGGAUGUAAACGGAGCCUCAAAGAGCUUUGACUAAUGUUUGAAAGUUUAUACAUGGUUGGCAGUAGAGGAAGCUUGUUCAAGAUCCGCCUUCAUUAGAACUUUUUGUUGAUGUCCUUUAGUUUAUACACCUAUAAUAGUAUAAAAAAAAUUUUUUAGCAGGCUUUGUGUCUGUACAUGAAUGUCAGAGCUGUGGGUGACCCCACCCACCUGUCCUUGCCUGUUCCCAUUCACAGGCUUAUGGCUACAACUCUUAAUGGAAAAUAGGGUUAAAAUAAUUAUGCUGUGUUGCAAAACAAUCCCAGUGGCCCAGUUAGGUCAGGACCCACAGGAAGGUCCAUUUCAAAGCUACAACAAUGGGUAGGGCAAUGCUGUGAGAUGUGCUCUUUGUGAGGUGGGAAAAUAUAGAGGGGAGGGGACAUAAAUCUGCAGCAGUUGUGGCUGCUUCCUCAUAUAAUGUGUCUUAGACCGUGUGUGCACAUGUGCUGUAGAGACAGGGAGGAGUGAGUUAUGUCUACUAGGCUUGGAAGGCUUGAUUGAAAUGCCUGAUGGUGAAAGCUCUUCCUUCAGACACAAGGCCAGUACUAUUGUUCACAUUUCUCAACAGCAUUAAAAUCCUGGGAGGAGAAUGUGCAAUUGAAAGGUUUUUCAUUGAAGACAAUAGACGAUGAUAAAUUAAAAAUAGUUGCCUUUUUCAAAAAGUCUCUGGACAAGUCUGGCCCCGUCCUAAUCGUUGCACCUGACCUAGCUAUAAUGUCUUUUUUACACCCACAUCCAUUAGCAUUAAUCCUCAAUUUCUUAAAGUCACUGUCACGAACAGAGUACUGAAAGCCUGAUCUGACUCACAAAGAGUCAAUGUGGUUACUCAACCCGACUACCCCUCCCUCCAUUAGCACAUGCACAUGUGUGGUGCACUUCUCUUUCUUGUUCCAUUCCUACAGUUCUCUCUAAAUGCUGUGAUCUGGGUCAAACCACCACGAAAGUUUUAACUCCGUCAGCAAUCUGCUCACUAGACCUUGACAAGUUGUGUCUAAUGUAGAUGAUGAUAAUGCUGACUAUUUGUUUAAUUGCCCAUGACUCUAACGUAAGUCCAAGCUAUGUUUGUGCCAGACUUUGUGGUUUCUGGUCUCCAUGGUGUGUUGCAGUCUCUGUGAACUCACUUCUUGGCAACCUCAGUUAGAUUGGGGGCGAGACCUAUAUCUUCUCCCAACUCGGUUGCUUAUGGGAUUGCAUACACUCCCAAAAUUCCCUGCUCCUGUGGGGUAGUGAUGAGAUCAUCUCGGCAAGCAUCUCAUCCCUGGUGGAAAGGGAAAAGCUGAGUUGUUGGCAGAAAUUCCCCAGUUUGCUGAGAGAAGCUGAGAACUCUCUCGCAGGCAGUCUUGGAAACUUUGCGAUUAAGAACCGGCCUGUCUGGGUCUCUAAUGGCCCAAAGCAGUCUCGUCAUAAACAUUGAGGGCUUGAGCCGGCAGACUUCUGCAUGACCCACCAGGAAUAAAUUACAACCUGCUGGUAAGUGCUGCAACUACAUUUGUGGUGCCAUUUUGGAGAUCAGGCUUGUUGUGGUUUUCCAGAGAUAACAAAUCAGUGGUAGACCGGAGGCUAGGACACAGUGUGCCCCUGAUUCAGAACAUCUGACCCAAUUGGGAUCACUAUGGGCAACAUUGGGAUCUAAUACAUAUUAUAUUGAAAGCAUCAUGUCUUGGUUUAGUUUACAUCUGUAUUUGUAGUAUCGUUUUUGCUUCGCCUCCAGCUAAAGAUAACUGAAGGCACAUGCGCACUGUCUGUAAGAUACUUUGCCAAAAACCUUGCAAAACCUAAAUCUUUACAGCUUAAUAUAGGUUUCUUAUACUAAUCUAAGAUCAGUUUUCCACUGUCCUGGUUACUUCAUUACUCCAAGCCAAAAUUACCAAAUAGCAGAGGGUUUCUUCUAUAAACUCCUGUCCUCCAUUUUAUUUGGAAAUUGUGUGAUGUCUGCAAGGGAUAUGUCAGUUUAGUAUCUAGAGGAUGAAUUCAAUGUCUUCUCCUAAUAACCUAAUUAAAAGGUCUUCUCAGUCGGAACUUCUUUUCGAAUGACAGCAGCUGACGUUGGACUUGCAGACUAUGCUAAAUUCAAAACAUGUUAUAGGGCAUCAAGUGUGUGGCUCUUGAGCAAACCUAGAGAGUCUUCUUUGAGCUUGUGGUUAUAAAGGAUUUGUAAGACCUCCCACUGAAGGUCCUUAAUGCCUUUCUCACGUAGUGUCUGGCUGUCUCCAUCCUUACCUACGUCUCUGCCUGUGUAAGUGGCCUCACGGUCGAAGAAACCUGAAGAAUUUUAUCUCACCCACACAGAGAUGCUGGUAGCUCUUGUUGGAACAGGUGAGCGACACCAAGUCUCUUGGAUCGACAUUCAGUCUAUACUUGUGUUGCUCAGAUAGUGGCCCGAUCAGAUGUCUGUGGCAUAGACUGUUCACCUCAAAAGGCCUUUUUCUCCUGUUUCCUAAAGAUUCAAGGGAAUCUGAAGUUGGUCUUUAUUCGGGCCCUCUGUGAAAUUGAGUCGUGAAUUUGUGAUGUGUUUUUGUACUUGAGAGAAGACAUGAGCAAGUGUUUAUUUACUGACCCAGUGGCCCCAAAAGAGAACCGUUAUGUAAGGCUGCUGUCUGUGACAUAACGGUAUCACCUCUGAAGGGAAACACUGUUGCUCGGCUACCUUCACUAUGGGAUGUCCAUACUAGCAACUGUGAUGUAACUGAUGCAAACGGUAACUGGGUCACUGUGUUCGUUUACACAGUGAUUGAAUCGAAAGCUCUCCUAAUUACUGGCCCCUGUGGCGAAAAAGAUUUUGGCACAUGCAGGGCUGGUUGCACCACACCAAGAGGGUGUAGCUCAUCAGUGUGAAGACACACCAGUGCCCAUGCAGCACAAACCACAUAAAAAAAAAACUAUCUUUUUGUACAAGUGGCAAGCUGUGAAUAAAUAUAUUGACUAUAGGAAGGGGAUGAGUAAAUGAUUACUCAUGCAGUUAUUUGCAUGAACAGUUUGACACAGUUGCAACAUGGGUUAUUGCCUCUCUAGUGUUUUCCCAGAGGGACAAAAACAGGAAGUGUCCGCAGUGUCCCUUUUGCAUGGUUUUUGAUGUGGUAGAUAGAGCUGCAGCAACUUCCAUCUGUUAUGAAAUUGUUACAAGCUGGACCUUUUUACUUAAACCUACUUCAGAGCCACGUCAAGAGUGCCCUCGUUGGUUAAAAUAAUAUUCCUGGAAACAUGUCUCACUUGAACUUUUAGUUAUGGUCAAACCAUGCAAGCAGUAAAUUUUAAGCACGGUAGUUGAAAAUGUUCUUGUCUGUAGGGUAAUGCUUUAUGUAACAGGUUAAGUACUAAAAUGAUUAAUCUAAAAAUGAAAUAAAAACUAUUUAAAGCUAUAUCUAAAUAAAAAAUAAACAAUAAAAAUGCACAUAUUAAACUGCACUAAAAUUUCAAUUACUGAAGCUAAAAAUGUAAAUGAAUAUAAUAAUAAAUACUAAAAUGUAUUGUACAGCAUAAAACUGAUAAUAAAACAACUGACUGCAAAGAGCAGAAUUGGAGAUUUUUUGUUUGUUUUUUUGGCUUUUUUGUUUUUAUGUAGUUUUUUCGAAACUGCUUUGCUCUGAGAAUAAUUGGUCUAACACCUGCACAUUGUAUUGAUGUCCCAAUUCACACCUUUACAUAGCCUAGUCCUACCCAUCUCUGUUAUAACCUGUGAAAUAUUCAAAAUAUCGCAACUCUUACCUUUGCUGUGAAGCUCCUCACCACUCAUAACUCACACUUUACAACCUUGAGUUCCCACAGACUCUUUCUUGCAUUAAUUAGACUGUAAAUUACAGGUUGGCUCCUGUCAUUGCUUGAAGGGAGAAUCUCAGACCAUCCACCGCGCUGUCCCCAUUCCUACUAUGCUAAUGUUAGAUCUUGUAUUUAUGUUUAUAUGCCCCAAUCAUGACUAGAUACAGGAGGUUUAAAAAGGGUCAAACUAAAGGGACCCUCUCAGAUUAGUUCUUGUGGGUGUGGCACGUUUGAAGGUUAGUGGAUUUAAAUUGCAGCUUUAUAUAUUUACGGUAUGUUUGGAGUAUCAGAUGACGUGAUUUUGUACCAAUGAGAGCGCUAAGAAGUAUUUUGGGAAUGACUUUUUGUGUGUGCGUAACAAUAUUUUUGUGCUUUUCGUCACGUGGGUUUGUGUGGGUGGAUAUAUAAUAUGACAGAUUCAAUUGAACCUACAUAGACAUUGUUGUGGACACAAAGCUCAUUCACACACAGACUAUAUUUUCAUUUGUGUGUGAAGGUUUUAUUUGUUGACGUAUAACAUAGCAAGGGUCUACAUGUGAGGUGCAUAUGUGGUUGUUUCCAAUAGUGGGACCAGGUCUGUCUGAAAGUGAGUGACAGGUUAUAGAUUUAGAUGGGGGCAGUCUAGACUUGCUCUGCUUGGUGUUUCUCUCACUUUUUCAGUCUUUUGUAGUAGGGGGGAAGGGACCCCAGCAAAGCUGUCAUCCCACACAUAAAUUUGGAAUCACAUAUAUGUUUCGUUUGAAGUUGUUUUCCAUUGGGGCCUUAAGGGGAAACCGCAAAACAAAGGCAGCAGCAAAAAGCUGUCUGGAUCUGUGUGUACUUUGCCUGUUCUGUCUAAUUUAACCAAGUAAUGACUGAGAUGUCUGGCUUUUUUCUUUCCUGUUCAUUGCCUUUCAAAAUUAUGAAAAGUGCAGUCACAG